CUCUCGAUAGCUCAGUUGGUAGAGCGAUUGACUGUAGAGGAAUACAAUUGAUAUCAAUCGGUCGCUGGUUCGAUUCCGGCUCGAGAGA